ACUCCUACGGGAGGCAGCAGUCAGGGAAUUUCCGCAAUGGACGAAAGUCUGACGGAGCAAUGCCGCGUGAGGUGAUGAAGGUUUUCGAAUCGUAAAGCUCUGUUGUAAGGGAAGAAUAGCAGUAGUAGGAAAUGACUACCUGUGUGACGGUACCUUACCAGAAAAGCCACGGCUAACUACGUAGCCCAGGCAGCCGCGGUAAUACGUAGGUGGCAAGCGUUAUCCGGAAUUAUUGGGGCGUAAAGCGCAUGUAGGCGGCUCUUUAAGUCUGAUGUGAAAGCCUGUGGCUCAACCACAGAAAGUUGCAUUGGAUACUGGAGAGCUAGAAUCUUGGAGAGGUAAGUGGAAUUU
rnacentral:rRNA from 1 species